AGCUAGGAUAUAGGUAGGUUAUCAAAAUCAAAGACGGCUAAAUCUAGUAGGAUCUGAUAAAAGGUAGAAUGAGAAAAUGAUUCAUUGCCUAGCUAUUAAGAUAGUUCAAGAUUCCUCACUAGGAUUGAUGCAUACCACAGAGAGUCCCAUUAGUGGGGUCCAUAAGUCAUAAAGAGAAGUGAGGUAGACUACAAGUGGAAUAUGAGUAUUUGGAUCAAUUUGAAGAAGAUGAAGUCAACCAGUCA
rnacentral:lncRNA from 1 species